rnacentral:rRNA from 1 species
UACGUAGGGGGCAAACGUUGUCCGGAUUUACUGGGUGUAAAGGGUGCUCAGGCGGUUUUGUAAGUCAGAAGUGAAAUCCUAGAGCUUAACUCUGGAACUGCUUUUGAUACUGCAAGGCUUGAAUAUGGAAGAGGAGGGCGGAAUUUCUGGUGUAGCAGUGAAAUGCGUAGAUAUCAGAAAGAACACCAGUGGCGAAGGCGGCCCUCUGGUCCAUUAUUGACGCUAAAGCACGAAAGCGUGGGGAGCAAACAGG